GCUUAAGUAGUUUAAUUUAAAACAUUGAUUUGUGGUGUCAAAGAUACUUUUUGGUUUUAGGCA
rnacentral:tRNA from 1 species